GACGAACGCUGGCGGCGGGCCUCAUACAUGCAAGUCGAGCGCGAAGGUCCGCAAGGAUGAGUAAAGCGGCGCACGGGUGAGUAACACGUGGAUAAUCUACCCCUUGGAUUGGAAUAACCUGUCGAAAGACGGGCUAAUGCCGAGUGAGCUUAUAGUUUCGUGGAGUUACUAUAAGGAAAGAUGGCGCAAGCUAUCGCCGAGGGAUGAGUCUGCGCCCCAUUAGUUAGUUGGUGGGGUAAUGGCUUACCAAGACAAUGAUGGGUACCUGGUUUGAGAGAAUGACCAGGCACACUGGAACUGAAACACGGUCCAGACUCCUACGGGAGGCAGCAGUAGGGAAUAUUGCGCAAUGGACGAAAGUCUGACGCAGCCACGCCGCGUGAGUGAGGAAGGGCCUUCGGGUUGGUUAAAGACGUCUGUCAACAGGAAAAACGGACGUAUCCGGGGAAGGUUACGGGUAGGCGUGGAUGGUACCUGUGGAGGAAGGAC
rnacentral:rRNA from 1 species